CCUACGGGAGGCAGCAGUGAGGAAUAUUGGUCAAUGGACGAGAGCCUGAACCAGCCAAGUCGCGUGAAGGAUGACGGCCCUACGGGUUGUAAACUUCUUUUGUCAGGGAGCAAUUGGGUCCACGCGUGUGCUUCUCGAGAGUACCUGCAGAAAAAGCAUCGGCUAACUCCGUGCCAGCAGCCGCGGUAAUACGGAGGAUGCGAGCGUUAUCCGGAUUUAUUGGGUUUAAAGGGUGCGUAGGCGGAAUAUCAAGUCAGCGGUAAAAAUUCGGGGCUCAACCCCGUCGUGCCGUUGAAACUGAUGGGCUUGAGUGGGCGAGAAGUAUGCGGAAUGCGUGGUGUAGCGGUGAAAUGCAUAGAUAUCACGCAGAACUCCGAUUGCGAAGGCAGCAUACCGGCGCCCAACUGACGCUGAAGCACGAAAGCGUGGGUAUCGAACAGGAUUAGAUACCCGGGUAGUC
rnacentral:rRNA from 1 species